AAAAAAAAAAAAAGAAGAAAGCAGUACGUAUUCAAUUUGUGUUACCCAUCUCGGAUUUUUUUCUUGUUUCUUAUCCCGUUGUGUUUUCCUUAAUUCGUUGGUUUCCAUCGCUCAUUGUGGUGUUGUUUUCUGCGUAGUACUGAUUUUUGGGUUCCAGUCUACGUUUAGGCGUCUAUCUUUUCUUUGUCGAGUCCUAUCUUAUCUGUGUAUUUUGCUGUGGUUCUUGUGAGGCGUGACAUC
rnacentral:lncRNA from 1 species